UUAGUACUCCCUCUAUCUCAAAAUAAGUGACUCAAAAAUGACUCUACUUUGUACUAAAGUUAGUACAAAACUUAGUCAUUUUUGAGUCAUUUAUUUUGAGGCAGAGGGAGUAUAUU
rnacentral:pre_miRNA from 1 species